AGUCUGCAACCCGACUCCGUGAAGCUGGAUUCGCUAGUAAUCGCGCNUCAGCCAUGGCGCGGUGAAUACGUUCCCGGGCCUUGUACACACCGCCCGUCAAGCCAUGGAAGCCGGGGGCGCUUGAAGUGCGUUGCCGCAAGGCGCGCCCUAGAGCGAAACCGGUGACUGGGGCUAAGUCGUAACAAGGUAUC
rnacentral:rRNA from 1 species